CGCAGGUUGGAGAAGUGGUAUCUUGUUACUCUCAUAAAGUAAAGGACGGUGGUUCGAGUCCAUCACCUGCAA
rnacentral:tRNA from 1 species